rnacentral:lncRNA from 10 species
UCCUGAGUUUCAGCUUGCUUCUGACAGGCAAGGCCAAGCUGGCUCAAAGAGCAACCAGCCACCUCUGCAAGGGUGUGCCAGGAGCAGGUGGAGCAGCCACCAACCUCACCCACUCAAAGAAGCAGGGAUGGCCAGGUUCCAACAGCCUGAGUGGCUGCCACCUGAUGGCUGAUGGAGCAGAGGCGUGAGGAAAAGCUGAUGGCACUGCUUUGUAGUGCUGUUCUUUGUCUCUCUUCAUCUUUUUCAGUUAAAGUCUGUUUUAUCAGAGACUAGGAUUGCAAACCCUGCUUUUUUUUGCUUUCCAUUUGCUUGGUAAAUAUUCCUCCAUCCCUUUAUUUUAAACCUAUGUGUGUCUUUGCGCAUGAGAUGGGUCUCCUGAAUACAGGACACCAUUGGGUCUUUACUCUUUAUCCAACUUGCCAGUCUGUGUCUUUUAACUGGGGCAUUUAGCCCAUUUACAUUUAAGUUUAGUAUUGUUACAUGUGAAAUUUAUCCUGUCAUGAUGUUGCUAGUUUUUAAUUUUUCCCAUUAGUUAAUGCAGUUUCUUUAUAGUGUCAAUGGUCUUUACAAUUUGGUAUGUUUUUGUAGUGGCUGGUACUGGUUGUUCCUUUCCACGUUUAGUGCUUACUUCAGGAGCUCUUGUAACGCAAGAAUGUGGAUUUAUUUCUGGUAAGGUAAAUAAGUGGAUUUAUUUCUCAAUGCUGUAUUCUAUGUCCUUUACCCCAAGAAUCAUUACUUUUUAAAAUGCAAUUCAAAUUAGCAUAAAACAUUUACAGCCUAGGAAAAGGCUUGUGGCAUUAGAAUACUUAUUUAUAGGAUUAUUUUGUGUUUUUUUGAGAUACGGUCUUUGUCAUCGAGGCAGAAGUGCAGUGGUUUGAUCAUAAUUCACCACAGCCCUGAACUCUGAGUCCAAGCCAUCCUUUUGCCUUAAUCUCCCAACUAGUUGGAUCUACAAGCAUAAGGCAUCAUGCCUGGCUAAUUUUUUUACAUGUUUUUUUUUUUUUUUGUCGAGAUUAUGGUAUCACUAUGUUGCUCUGGCUGAUCUCAAAUUCCUGACCUCAAGUGAUCUUUCUGCCACAGCCUCCUAAAGUGCUAGGAUUACAUGCAUGAUGCACCAUGCCUAGCGUAGAGUAUUACAUUAGUUUCAAAGUCUUAUUCUAAGAGCCAUUUAUUGACUUUGGCCUAAAUAACUCAAUAUAAUAUCUCUGAAACUUUUUUUGACAAAUUUUGGGGCAUGAUGAUGAGAGAAGGGGGUUUGAAACUUUCUAAUAAGAAUUAACUUAGACCCAUUUAAGAAGGAAAAAACACAAAUUAUCAGAAAAAUAUAAAAGUAAGAUCAAGUGCAAAAGUUCUGUGGCAAAGAUGAUGAGAGUAAAGAAUAUAUGUUUGUGACUCAUGGUGGCUUUUACUUUGUUCUUGAAUUUUUGAGUACGAGUUAACAUUUAAAGAAUCUACAUUAUAGAUAACAUUUUAUUGCAAGUAAAUGUAUUUCAGAAUUUGUUAUUGGUUUUGUAUGAGAUUAUUCUCAGCCUAUUUCAUUAUCAAGCUAUAUUAUUUUAUUAAUGUAGUUUGAUGAUCUUACAGCAAAGCUGGAAGCUGUAUCUUCAAAAUAUGUCUAUUUGACUAAGAAGAAGUUAUUCAACAGGAGUUAUUAUCUAUGAAAAAAGUACAACCAGAAUAUAAAAAACUUGAGGAGGAUAAAAAGAUGUUGGAAGAAGUAAUAUUAAAUCUUAAAAAACAUGGAAACUGCACAUUGGUGAAGACACAUUGGUGAAGUACAAAAAUAUAAAUUGGAUGUAGAAGAAAGGGCAAUGCAGGCAAUAGAAAAAUUAGUAGAAAUCCCUUUACAGGUUAGUUUGUAAAAUCAGGUAAGUUUAUUUAUAAUGUGCUUUCAUUUAUUUCACUGCAAAUUAUAUUUUGGAUAUAUAUAUUGUGUUUCCUCUGCCUCUCUUAUAGCAAUUUGCCUUGUAGAGUUCUAGCAAAAAGGUGGCAUCUGUUUUUACUUUCAAAUAUUUAAAUUUCCAUCAUUAUAACAAAAUCAAUUUUUCAGAGUAAUGAUUCUUACUGUGGAGUCAUUUGAUUAUUAAGACCCAUUGGCAUAAGAUUACAUCCUCUGACUAUAAAAAUCGUGGAAGAAAACCUAGGAAAUAUUCGUCUGGACAUUGCACUUGGCAGUGAAUUUAUGGGCUCUUUGGAAUCCUGCAGAUAUUAUCAUGAUAAUUAAACAAAACACUUAGAGAAACUGCCAACCCUAGGAUGAAAUAUAUUGUUACUGUGCUUUGGGAUUAAAAUAAGUAACUACAGUUUAUAGAACUUUUAUACUGAUACACAGACACUAAAAAGGGAAAGGGUUUGGAUGAGAAGCUCUGCUAUGCAAUCAAGAAUCUCAGCCACUCAUUUCUGUAGGAGCUGCAGGAGCUCUUUGUAAAGAGAGGUUAUGGAGUCUGCAGCUUCAGGAAAGUAACCUGCGGACGCCCAGGGGCUCCUCCAUCUCCACCGUGUUCUCCUCGGGCUGAAGCCCAAAGUCCCACAUUUUCUCCUCAAACAGCUCUCAGAGCCACUUCUGCAGGCAGGAGGACAGCGCGUGGACUCAGUGUCUGACUUGGGAAGCCACAUGUGAAGGAACUGCUGGGUGACUAUGGUCGUAAGUCAAUCAAAGCAGACUUUCCCUGGCUUGCUGUGCUACGUUGAUUUUGUUUUCGUAUUUUAAAAGAAGCAGAAGGGAGGUUCUAGGAAAUUUGCCCAACGUAGAUGCUGACAAGAGUGGUGACAUGAAAAAGAUUACCCAGAAGGAAAACGAGCUAUUUUCUAAACAUCUGAAAUCUGUGUAGGCUUUUGGAAAAGUGAAACUAGAUGCAAAACACAAUGAUAUAAUUCUGGCAAUUUCCACUGACACAGAACUCAGUCAAUCUGAAUUAAUCUAAGAGUUAUAAGGAAAAUGGCACUCCAAGAAGUACCUAUUAACAUCACUCAGCUGCUGUGAAAUAGGCUUACAGGCAACAUGGAGUGUCAAUUACCCAAUGUUUAAAGUCGAUCAUACAGAUUGGACUACAAUCUCUAUGGCUCAUAAAGUCUUUAAAGGAUUGACAGAUGAUUUAUCUCAUAUGUAGACAAUGAUUCUCAGCAGUUAACUAGCGCAACUUGAUAAUGUCAAUUGCUUGAGAAAAUCAGAUAAUUGCUUGAGAAAAUUAGGACAUUGCUUGAGGAAGUUAGGUAGUUAAAUAAAUUACUUUUUUUAAAGAAUAGUUUAAUAUUUUGGCAAGUAGACUUUAAAAUAGGUUGGUAAUAUUUUAAAGGCUACUUUUAAAGAAGUAGCAAUAUAACAUGUUUAAUUAUGAAAAAUAAUGUUGGAAACAAUUCAAUUUUCUAUCAGAUCAUUCACAAAUACAGAAAUACCAUCUCAAUAAUUAGAAGAAGUAGCAGCAAUUUCUGUCAUUUUUAUGCAAGUUACUCUUAGUCCAUUUAUUUGGUUUUAAAUAGUGUUUUUAAAAUUUGUUUUCAAACAGGGCUAAUCAUAAAUAAUAGAACAUAUUUUACAAUAGUUGAAGGUAACAAAAAGUAAGUGCCAUUUAAAAAAUUGUAUUAGAUUGUUUAAAAAUGUUGUGGGUACAUAGUAUGUGUUGUGGGUACAUCGUAUGUGUUGUGGGUACAUAGUAUGUGGGGUCCAUGAGAUGUUUUGAUACAGGCAUGCAAUGUGAAAUAAGCACAUCAUGGGGAAUGGGGUAUCCCUCCCCUCAAGCAUUUAUCCUUCAAGUUAUAAAAAAUUCAAUUACAGUCUUAGUUAUGUCAAACUGUACAAUUAAAUUAUUAUUGAAUAUAGUCA